UACGGAAGGCAGCAGUGGGGAAUAUUGCACAAUGGGCGCAAGCCUGAUGCAGCCAUGCCGCGUGUAUGAAGAAGGCCUUCGGGUUGUAAAGUACUUUCAGUCGUGAGGAAGGUGUUAAGGUUAAUAACCUUAGCAAUUGACGUUAGCGACAGAAGAAGCACCGGCUAACUCCGUGCCAGCAGCCGCGGUAAUACGGAGGGUGCGAGCGUUAAUCGGAAUUACUGGGCGUAAAGGGCACGCAGGCGGUUAAUUAAGUUGGAUGUGAAAUCCCCGGGCUUAACCUGGGAAUGGCAUUCAAGACUGGUUAGCUAGAGUCUUGUAGAGGGGGUAGAAUUCCAUGUGUAGCGGUGAAAUGCGUAGAGAUGUGGAGGAAUACCGGUGGCGAAGGCGGCCCCUGGACAAAGACUGACGCUCAUGUGCGAAAGCGUGGGGAGCAAACGAGGGAUUAAUACC
rnacentral:rRNA from 1 species